rnacentral:rRNA from 2 species
AAAUUGAAGAGUUUGAUCAUGGCUCAGAUUGAACGCUGGCGGCAGGCCUAACACAUGCAAGUCGAACGGUAACAGGAAGCAGCUUGCUGCUUUGCUGACGAGUGGCGGACGGGUGAGUAAUGUCUGGGAAACUGCCUGAUGGAGGGGGAUAACUACUGGAAACGGUGGCUAAUACCGCAUAACGUCGCAAGACCAAAGAGGGGGACCUUCGGGCCUCUUGCCAUCAGAUGUGCCCAGAUGGGAUUAGCUUGUUGGUGAGGUAACGGCUCACCAAGGCGACGAUCCCUAGCUGGUCUGA